GACGAACGCUGGCGGCGUGCCUAAUACAUGCAAGUCGAGCGCAGGAAACUGACGGAACUCUUCGGAGGGAAGGCAGCGGAAUGAGCGGCGGACGGGUGAGUAACACGUGAGGAACCUGCCUCAAGGAUUGGGAUAACUCCGAGAAAUCGGAGCUAAUACCGGAUAGUUCAACGGACCGCAUGGUCCGCUGAUGAAAGGCGCUUCGGCGUCACCUUGAGAUGGCCUUGCGGUGCAUUAGCUAGUUGGUGGGGUAACGGCCCACCAAGGCGACGGUGCAUAGCCGACCUGCGAGGGUGAUCGGCCACGCUGGGACUGAGACACGGCCCAGACUCCUACGGGAGGCAGCAGUAGGGAAUCUUCCACAAUGGACGAAAGUCUGAUGGAGCAACGCCGCGUGAGUGAUGAAGGUUUUCGGAUCGUAAAACUCUGUUGUAAGGGAAGAACACGUACGAGAGGAAAUGCUCGUACCUUGACGGUACCUUACGAGAAAGCCACGGCUAACUACGUGCCAGCCGCCGCCGUAA
rnacentral:rRNA from 1 species